AAAACAUUUUUGUAAUGCAAGCAAAUUAUAACUACAGUUGGUCUGUUGUACAUUAUAAAACUGGAGUAUGUAUAUAAAACUGGUGUAUGAAUAUGUGUGUAUGUGUAUUUUUUUUCUGACAUAAAGGCUUCAUUACCUAAUUUUGCAUGUACCGUAUAUGCCGGCGUACAAGGUGACCCGGCGUAUAAGACGACCCCCGUCUUUAUCGCCGGGCCGCAUUCCUAGAACGUCGUCUUAUACACCGGAAACUACCAGUAUUUCCGGCGUAUAAGACGACCCGGCGUAUAAGACGACUCCCGUCUUUGGCGCCAAUUUUAGCGCUCGCGGAAGUCGCCUUAUACGCCGGCAUAUACGGUAUAUGGGCUCUCCAGUAAAAACAGUUAUCUGUAUUACAGAAUAGCAUUGUGAAAUCAAAAUAGGAAGGAAAAACUGGGUUUUGGGACUGUGCCUUCAUUCCUCUCUAAAAGCAACAGAAAGUGUUAUUCCUGGAAUAUAGGCCAAGAUAGUUUAAGAAUCGAAGUAAUCGUAUGGAGCAAAUAACACAAAUAGGAAAAAAAACACUAGAUAAAUAUUUUAAGGCAAGAGUUGGCGUCAUCAUUCAGCCCCAAACUCAGAUAAAACUAAUUGUUUCAACCUUUAGAAUUGGUUCUUGCAAAACCAAAACAGCCAAGAAUUUGCACAUGCAAAUGACAUGUAUGAGCAAACUAAAAUACCACAACUAGGGAACAAACUUUAUUCUACAGAAACUUCACUGAGAUCUUUAUACUGACAUCUCGUGACUAAUCUUGCACUUUAAGCUCUUUUUUAAGGUUUCUAAGAAAAUGUCCAUAAAGAAUGUCACCUCAACUAGCUGAUCUUGACAAAAAAUAUUCAGUCAGACCCAAUUAUUACUUGGAUGGGGAACUAUCUGGAAAUCUGCAAGUAUUUCUAAAAUUAUGAAAUCAAACCAUUCAUAAAUGCCAUAAUCCAAAUAUCACAAUAACAGUAAACAGAGAAGCUUAGCUUAUAAUCAGAAAAGAUACCAUGGACUGGCUUCUAGAAAUUAUUAAAAUAAGAGCAAAGGUUUCCAGUAGUGUGUCUUUGAUUCCUGCUUCUUGAUUUUCAAAUACCAUCAGUUAAUGUUUUCAGGAGAGUGACCUGUUCCGUAUUUCUGACAUCUUAUUCUACCUGGUAAAAGUUGCUUUCAUCCAAGAGGCUGCUAUUACUAUUUAUGCUGCUCUGUGUCAAAAUGAAUGCUCAGUAUAUUAAACACCUAUUUAUUAACAAAUAAAGGAGCAACAGUGACCCAGAGAACUGUAUAUUUUGUCCACUCAUUCAUAAUGGUUAAAAUAAAAUAAGACUUUUCUUAGUUGAGGAGGUGAACCAUAUUGGGCAGAAAUGAUCUGAUUCCCCAUAGCCACUCUGACACUUGGAUGGAAUAAAUAGUAAUGGUCAUUGUAAUUCAAUAAGUGUCCAAUGACAUCUGUGGGUUAGUAAUGUUCAUGAUAUUUUCUGGAGUUAAGUAUGAGUUGCCUACCCCUGACCUAGGUGAUGAUUUCAGAGCCUUUCCUAUCAAGAAUUAAUGACAGAUGAGAGCUCAUCUUUAUCUGCAAAGUAAAAAAUUAUUUUGGAAUUUAAGUGAAUGUUCAUUUGAGAAACCUUUUUAAAAAAUUUAUCCUGGGUUUUUUCUUCCCUAUAGUUUCUUAUGUUGCUGGUUUGUUUAUGAUUUUAUGUAUCAAAUAGCACCUUUGCGAGGAAAGCUCUGCCUCAACCUAAUGAGCAAGUGCUUAGGUUUGAUGUUACUUCGGUCUGGAGGACAUUGCAGAAAGUUAACAUUUGGAAAGCGGCAA